rnacentral:rRNA from 1 species
ACUAGGGAUCGGGACGACCCUCAAUCUUAUGCGUCGUUCGGCACCUUACGAGANAUCAAAGUCUUUGGGUUCUGGGGGGAGUAUGGUCGCAAGGCUGAAACUUAAAGGAAUUGACGGAAGGGCACCACCAGGAAUGGGAGCCUGCGGCUUAAUUUGACUCAACACGGGGAAACUCACCAGGUCCAGACGUAACUAGGAUUGACAGAUUGAUAGCUCUUUCUUGAUUUUAUGG